rnacentral:rRNA from 1 species
AGCAGCCGCGGUAAUUCCAGCUCCAAUAGCGUAUAUUAAAGUUGUUGCAGUUAAAAAGCUCGUAGUUGAACUUCGGGGUCUACCCAUCGGUCAGGCUUAAUUGUCUGUACUGGUGAGAUGGAUCUCUACCUUCUGAGGAACUUUCAUGCCAUUUAUUUGGUGUGAUUGAAAAUCAGGACUGUUACUUUGAAAAAUUAGAGUGUUUAAAGCAGACUAUCGUCUGAAUACAUUAGCAUGGAAUAAUGAAAUAGGACGGACUGAUUCUAUUUCGUUGGUUUCUAGGAUCACCGUAAUGAUUAAUAGGGAUAGUUGGGGGCAUUAGUAUUCAAUUGUCAGAGGUGAAAUUCUUGGAUUUAUUGAAGACUAACUACUGCGAAAGCAUUUGCCAAGGAUGUUUUCAUUAAUCAAGAACGAAAGUUAGGGGAUCGAAGACGAUCAGAUACCGUCGUAGUCUUAACCAUAAACUAUGCCGACUAGGGAUCGGACGAAGUUAAUUUUAUAAUGACGCGUUCGG